GCGACGGGAGGCGCAGGGAAGAGCCGCGCCACUGCACAGCCGCGGAGGGAGGCUGGUCCCCUCAACAAUCGCCAAGAAUCCUCCGCUCUCUAGGCUCAGUCAAGUUUGUCCAAGAAGGUCAAGCCUUACCUAAGAGGAUACGAUACAGCCUCGAAGUUCGGAGUAGUGAAAAGCAGGAUCUACCCGUGAUUAUGAUAUCCGGGCACCAACGUACAAGUUCCCCAUGAAUCCCGUUGCCUCCUGCAGACCUAAAGUAUCUCCUGCGUGAGUCACCCAGUUUCUGCCAGUGCCUCUUGUCCUCUCGGAAUGGCAUUAAAGGAAACAGAAGUGCAUCUUGACCCGAGUCUCUAUUCUGUGGAGAGUGGGAAGUCAGAGCAUCAGGACUGGAUGGGAGCUGGGGAGAAGGCUUUUGUUUGCGGAAGAGCAUCUUACUGUGCAGCCCUGGCUGCCCUGAAACUUGGCAGAAUCUGGAGUGCUGGGAUUAAAGGCCAAGCAGAUUGGAAGGUUGGCGUGAAUAGGCCUCACUCGUUGGAAGCUAUGAACCUGCGUAUACCUCCGCUGACCCAGGAUGGAUGAGAGAGGACGGAGAGACCCUGGAGAAAAUUCUUGGUCAUCUGCGUCUCUGCUCACACGUCACCUCCUCAGAGAGGACUUUGACCACCUCUGGAAAACAGUUCUCCCUGACAUCUUUGACCCUCUGACUUUCUCAUGGCUGAUGGUACGGUUAUCUCACACACCGAAAUGUUUGCCUUCUGCCUUGGAAUGUAAGCUCGGAAAGCAAAGGGACUGCGGCUCUCACUAAUGCAUGUCUAGAGCCUUGCCCCUAACAAGCACUCCUCGGAGGGCAUGAGCUCAGUGAGUGGACUCAAGACUGCGGGGCUGGCUUUCUAAAAGGAGAAAUAUAUGAGGGCGUCACUCAACUUACUGAGAACAUGGGCAACAUCAUCGACAUGUUAGCAGGUAUUCUACGUGAGUACUUAAUGGGCUCUAAUUACCACACUGACCCUAUGAGUCUUGUAUCAUUCCUGUGUUUCUUCUCCAUAUUCAACUGCAGGAGUGUACACAGCUAACAUGUAAGCCAAGAGAGUUGAGGACAGGUCUCAGCACAGAACUUACAUACUCCUCCUGAGGAACUGUCAGCCCAUCUCUUGAUCUCUGUGAAUCAUUAGCAGGUAUCAUCUCAACGAUAGGGUGAAAAGUCAGAUCGGCUGCCUUUAUCAAAUCAGGGUUGUCAGGAGGCACAGGGAAGAAUAUCCCUGAUGUUAGAAGGAAAACAAAACAAAACAACAUGCGGGGCCCAAGACUUUAGGUCUAAGACAGGAGUGUUAUUUUAGGGAGAAUGGCUAAGUACUUGUAUGUAAACAUGAAAAACUUUGCAGUUAUUUUAAGAUUAAAAGUCAGAGAAAACAUCCACUAGAAAAAAAAAAAAGGAACAAGCUAUUUUGUUUGAGCUUCUAUAUCACUUCCUGGAAAGGUCCGUAAACAGUCUAGCUUUGCCACAGGUGCAGAUGUGCGGACUUUGACAAGACACGUGCAGUCAUUUUAUCCUUGUGAGCUGCGUGGUUUAGGGAGAAUCUUGUAGUAUGUAGAGUGUAUCGUGACUAGUUGAAGGGCCGCCCCGAUUGCAAUGUUAACGAAACGGCAUCCACCCAGAGAAAGGUUUCAGAUGGAUACCACAAGGCCUUUUCCUUUCCCCUCGUCUGAUGCGAACGCAUUUGUCAGUGACUGAGAUAAAGCAAAAGGGAGGCAUGGCUGUCAGAAACGGGUUACGUGAGGGAAAAAAGACGCAUUAGAUUACGAAAUCAGGGGUACAAAUGCCCUCAACAACUGAGAGAUGCAUAAAAUUUAAUAAUAUGUAAUUUGGUUAGAGUAAUUGUGUGGGCCUGCCUUGGGACUAAAACACCAACUGCCUAAAUUUGGUUUGAAGUCUAUGUGACUUAGCAACGGUGCUCCUCGGGGAAGAGAAGAGAGCCGUGCCUGGCAGGGAGCCACUGGUGUGAUGGUGGCAAACAAGAAAACAGAAGUCGUUGAGACUGUGUGAUAAAUUAGAGCCUUCCUAAAGUAAUGGAGGGAAGAGUUAGUCCAACUCCACUUUCUGUUCCACACAGGGCUGUGCUUGGUUCUGCGGCCAUGCUUGGUUCGAGGGGUAGCAUUUCAAAGAAGGAACCGAGGAAGAUAGGAAAAGCCCAGGAUGCAGCAGAUGGAACGUAGCUGUCUCCUGUGAGAAAAAAACUGAAAGAGUUUGGGGAUUUUUAUGCUAAAAAAAAAACAAUUAUACUUAAUCAUGUUAUCUUAAUAGGGUAAUGAUUUUAAUCACUAUUGAGGAUUUACUAUUUUCUAGAUGCUGCGUUAACCAUUUUCGCUUUAAUUAAUGCUCACAACAACCCUAAGACGUGGUGGGUUCGGAACUCUUUGUGUAUUCAUGUGUACAAAGUGGUUUUAGGUGAUAAGCGCUAACAGACGUUAAAGCUUAAAUUUUAACCCCUUGUCUACUCAGUCCUUAAACCAGAUUUUCCUCACCACAUGCAAACUAGUUACCACUUACAUAGGCCCAGAUAUUAAGUAUGUAUGUGUAUACAUGUAUGUCAUAUAUGAUAAAAUUACAUGAAAUAACAGAAAAUCAAAAUAAUAUGCGGAAAAAGGAGACUGGAAACAGACAUAUCAAAGUUUUAGCAACAGUUAAGUUAUACUAAGGUACUGAGAAAAAUCACCUUCUUUUGUUUGUUUCUUUUAAUUUUAGAAAACUUUUUUUACUAAGCUUAUCUUGAUUUUGUAAAACUCCCACCUGCAGCUUUUGAAUUAAAAAAUAAUUACUAUGUCAAA
rnacentral:sRNA from 1 species